AACGAAAUGAAUAUCACUGGACGAACGUUUUUCCCUGCUGCUCUCAUGCAGCCGAUGCGCCACCCUACGGUGAGGAUAUGAGACCGCUGAGCUUUUAAAUCUAAGCUUACCAAGCGAGUGCCACCAGAGAUCUCAUUUAAUUUUCUGGGCAUAUAGCAGACGACUCACUUGCAGCAGCUAAUAUACGUUUUCCGAAUUUGCUUUGGACAAAUUCUGAAAACUUUUACAAUAGUAAAAAGCGGUUGUGAGAAACCUGCGAGAUAAAAUGAGAUGGGAUGUACCUCAAUUGCGUUCUUUACAAAGUUGACUAUGAAGGCUUUGUAUGCGGAUUUUGGCGGUCGUAUAGAGUUUUUAAAGGACAUUCAAACUAUUUGAAGUGGAUCUUUUGACCGGAGUAGUUGUUCCGAACAAGUGGAGACCAAUCCAAGUGAAACUGUGUGAAGUGAAUUAAAAAUUCAGGUGCCGAAGAGGAUUUCUACUAGAGAAGUUUUUAGCUAGUGUUAGGCACGAGGUCAUUCUCUGCCCCACUUUCUAUCCCCACAGAAGGCUGAGGUGCUAGGAAGCCUCUGGGGACAGGUAAGCGAUCCCUUCAAACGUUUAUCCUAGGAUUGGGCACUAAUCGAUAUAAUUUAUAUAUCGCGUUGAACAGUAUUUCCCACUGUUUGACGUGGGUGUGUAUGCAGGACCGACAAUUGAGGGCGUGAUCAAGCGAGGUCGCAUUUCGGGUGAGGAGUGCCGAAUUUGGAGCCUAGACGUUAGCUGUGAUAGUCCACGGUCCGAGGAUUUUCCACCCAAACCUCCCCACACCACCCA